rnacentral:rRNA from 1 species
CACGUAGGGCGCAAGCGUUGUCCGGAAUUAUUGGGCGUAAAGAGCUCGUAGGCGGUCUGUUGCGUCCGCUGUGAAAACCCGGGGCUUAACCCUGGGCUGGCAGUGGAUACGGACAGACUAGAGGUAGGUAGGGGAGAAUGGAAUUCCCGGUGUAGCGGUGAAAUGCGCAGAUAUCGGGAGGAACACCGGUGGCGAAGGCGGUUCUCUGGGCCUUACCUGACGCUGGGGAGCGAAAGCGUGGGGAGCGAACAGG